rnacentral:rRNA from 1 species
CCUCAUCGAGGUAAUUGGCAUUGACUUAUGGCACGCUGUUGAGUUCUCAAGGUACGGGGAGGAGCAAAUAUCUUUUGAUCCGUACAUUUCCGAAUGGGGAAACCUGAUACAUUGAAGAUGUAUCGUCGAAAGACGCGAACGCGCUGAACUGAAACAUCUAAGUAGGCGUAGGAAGAGAAAACAAUAGUGAUUUCCGUAGUAGUGGCGAGCGAACUGGAAAUAGCCCAAACCGUAAUUGUUUCGGCAGUUACGGGGUUGUAGGACUGCAAUAUCCGAAAGAAGUUAUAGAGGAACAGGUUUGGAAAGGCCGACCGUAGAGUGUGAUAGUCACGUAUUCGAAAUAAUUUUUGUAGGUAGCAGUAUCCUGAGUAGGGCGGGACAUGUGGAAUCCUGUCUGAAUCCACCAGAACCAUCUGGUAAGGCUAAAUACUCCUGAGAGACCGAUAGUGCACUAGUACCGUGAGGGAAAGGUGAAAAGAACCCUGAAUAAGGGAGUGAAAAAGACCCUGAAACCGUAUGUCUACAAGCGGUCGAAGCCUUCGGGCGACGGCGUGCCUUUUGCAUAAUGAUCCUACGAGUUACUCCUCAUUGGCAAGGUUAAGAAUUUAAGGUUCGGAGCCGAAGCGAAAGCGAGUCUGAAUAGGGCGCAUAGUCAGUGGGGGUAGACGCGAAACCUUGUGAUCUACCCAUGGUCAGGUUGAAGUUCCGGUAACACGGAAUGGAGGACCGAACGAGUAAACGUUGAAAAGUUUUUCGAUGAACUGUGGGUAGGGGUGAAAGGCCAAUCAAACUGGGAAAUAGCUCGUACUCCCCGAAAUGCAUUUAGGUGCAGCGUUGUGGUAGAGUUUUAUAGAGGUAGAGCUACUGAUAGGACGCGGGGGUUUCACCACCUACCAAAUCCUGACAAACUCCGAAUGCUAUAAAAUAUACACAGCAGUGAGGGUAUGGGUGCUAAGGUCCAUAUCCGAGAGGGAAAGAACCCAGACCAUCAGCUAAGGUCCCCAAAUAUACGCUAAGUUGAUCAAACGUUGUGCGGUUGCAUAGACAGCUAGGAUGUUGGCUUGGAAGCAGCCAUUCAUUUAAAGAGUGCGUAACAGCUCACUAGUCGAGCGAUCGUGCGUGGAUAAUAAACGGGCAUUAAGCGUAUUACCGAAGCUAUGGAUUCAGUGUAAACUGUCUGGUAGGGGAGCAUUCUAACGACGUAGAAGGUGUAAGGUGACUUAUGCUGGAGUUUUUAGAAAAGCAAAUGUAGGAAUGAGUAACGAUAAUGCAGGCGAGAAACCUGCACACCGUAAGACUAAGGUUUCCUUGGCGACGCUAAUCGUCCAAGGGUUAGUCGGGACCUAAGGCGUACCCGAAGGGGGAAGUCGAUGGAUAACUGGUUAAUAUUCCAGUACUUGUUAUUACUGCGAUGGGGUGACGGAGUGAUGAAAGAACCGCGAACUGACGGAAUAGUUCGUUAAAGCCAGUACCUAUAGAGACCGUAGGCAAAUCCGCGGACUUUGGGGAAGGUGAUAGUACCGAGCGGCUUCGGCCAAUUGGAUAGUGUUCCUAAGGGCUUCCAAGAAAAACCUCUAAGCUUCAGGUUAUAACAACUCGUACCGCAAACCGACACAGGUAGUCAAGGAGAGAAUCCUAAGGUGCUCGAGUGAUUCAUGGCUAAGGAACUAGGCAAAAUGGUCUCGUAACUUCGGGAGAAGAGACGCCAGCGCAAGCUGGCCGCAGUGAAUAGGCCCAGGCGACUGUUUAACAAAAACACAUGGCUUUGCAAAAUCGAAAGAUGAAGUAUAAGGCCUGACACCUGCCCGGUGCUGGAAGGUUAAGAGGAGAUGUUAGUUUCGGCGAAGCAUUGAAUUGAAGCCCCAGUAAACGGCGGCCGUAACUAUAACGGUCCUAAGGUAGCGAAAUUCCUUGUCGGGUAAGUUCCGACCUGCACGAAUGGUGUAACGAUCUGGGCACUGUCUCAGCCAUGAGCUCGGUGAAAUUGUAGUAUCGGUGAAGAUGCCGAUUACCCGCAACGGGACGAAAAGACCCCGUGAACCUUUACUAUAGCUUCACAUUGACAUUGGGUAAUUCAUGUGUAGGAUAGGUGGGAGACGUUGAGGCUGCAUCGCUAGGUGUAGAUUAGUCGUCCUUGAAAUACCACCCUUGGAUUAUCUGAUGUCUAAUCCCGCAGAGCGGGAGACAUUGUGUGGUGGGUAGUUUGACUGGGGUGGUCGCCUCCAAAAGAGUAACGGAGGCUCCUAAAGGUACCCUCAGCUAUCGUGA